rnacentral:rRNA from 1 species
AUUGAACGCUGGCGGCAUGCCUUACACAUGCAAGUCGAACGGCAGCGGGGGAGAAGCUUGCUUUUCCUGCCGGCGAGUGGCGAACGGGUGAGUAAUACAUCGGAACGUGCCCUGUAGUGGGGGAUAACUAGUCGAAAGAUUAGCUAAUACCGCAUACGACCUGAGGGUGAAAGUGGGGGACCGCAUGGCCUCAUGCUAUAGGAGCGGCCGAUGUCUGAUUAGCUAGUUGGUGGGGUAAAGGCCUACCAGGGCGACGAUCAGUAGCUGGUCUGAGAGGACGAUCAGCCACACUGGGACUGAGACACGGCCCAGACUCCUACGGGAGGCAGCAGUGGGGAAUUUUGGACAAUGGGCGAAAGCCUGAUCCAGCAAUGCCGCGUGUGUGAAGAAGGCCUUCGGGUUGUAAAGCACUUUUGUCCGGAAAGAAAUGGCUCUGGUUAAUACCUGGGGUCGAUGACGGUACCGGAAGAAUAAGGACCGGCUAACUACGUGCCAGCCGCCGCAGUAA